rnacentral:rRNA from 1 species
AUAGAUACCCAGGUAGUCCACGCCGUAAACGAUGAGUGCUAAGUGUUAGAGGGUUUCCGCCCUUUAGUGCUGAAGUUAACGCAUUAAGCACUCCGCCUGGGGAGUACGGCCGCAAGGCUGAAACUCAAAGGAAUUGACGGGGGCCCGCACAAGCGGUGGAGCAUGUGGUUUAAUUCGAAGCAACGCGAAGAACCUUACCAGGUCUUGACAUCCUCUGAAAACCCUAGAGAUAGGGCUUCUCCUUCGGGAGCAGAGUGACAGGUGGUGCAUGGUUGUCGUCAGCUCGUGUCGUGAGAUGUUGGGUUAAGUCCCGCAACGAGCGCAACCCUUGAUCUUAGUUGCCAUCAUUUAGUUGGGCACUCUAAGGUGACUGCCGGUGGCAAACCGGAGGAAGGUGGGGAUGACGUCAAAUCAUCAUGCCCCUUAUGACCUGGGCUACACACGUGCUACAAUGGACGGUACAAAGAGUCGCUAAACUCGCGAGAGCACGCUAAUCUCAUAAAACCGUUCUCAGUUCGGAUUGUAGGCUGCAACC